GGAGGGGUAGCGAAGCUUGCCAAACGCGUGGUGGUCUGUAACCCACUUUCUCAACUGGUUCGGGGGUUCGAAUUCCCUCCCCCUCCACCA
rnacentral:tRNA from 1 species